CACAGAGGCACCAGCGGACGCGCAGCAUCGUCCCUUUUUUAUGAUGGGGAAACGGAGGGUCCGGGGCUUGCCCCAUGCCCAUCUCUGAUUCCACAGCCUGUAAUCUUUCUUCAGCAGAGAUUUUCCCAAGUGCUGAUAAAACAGAGCAACCGAGAAAUAGCAUCUCACCCCCGAUACCCCUGCCACUGAUUCGAGAUGCAUGGUGCCUGCUCAGCGAGGGCCUGUGGGGCAGCGCUACCCUGAGAGAGGAGGAGACGGCCCCUGGAAGUCAAGCAGAGGCGAGCACGCGGACACGCCAGCGUCACAGUGGGCAGCUGCGACUUGCAGCUCCGGGCUGGGGAAACCCUCUUGGCCUCAGUGCUGUUGCUCUGCAGUGGGAACAGUACUCCUCACUCAGGAAGCUGGGGGAUUAAAUGAGACCAUGACCGUGAACCUGUAGCACAGCGUGGGGAACAGAGCACUUGCUCUCAGCAGUGAUCUCGCUCAACUGGCAGAACCCUCAGGGAGGAUGAAACAGGACCACAGGGAAAGGUGCAGUGGACCUGACCACUGGGCUGGGCUUCAAGGGCCCCCACGUGAACAGGACGUCCCCACAGCUCAUCCUGAAGGACUGUGACAUUAAAGUCGUGGACGUGCUCCGAGCCUCCGUUUUCGUACCUGCAACACAGGAGUAAGUACGUGGCUGCCGCCUUCGGACAGUUGUUGGCGUGACCAUUACCUAAACGCCAGUCAAGAUUCAUCUUAGGACCUGUGUCCGUGUUUGUUCCUGUGUUCAUCCUUCACUCGAACUGCAACAGGCGCCGCAGACCCAGCUGGGGCUCCCAGGUGCGACUCCAAGGCACGCAGUGGCCCCUGGUCCGUUGGGUUGUGGACUCUGAGUUACCACAUGAAUGACAAUGCUGAGCUGCAGGCAGGGGGCUGCUUGGGGACAUGACUCUGCUGUAAGUGUUGGGAAGGAUUCAACCAGCAUGUGGAACAAGGCCAAGUUCACCAGGAAGGGAAAAGGGAGGCAGCCUCUGAAGGCAGAAAGGGUAAAAGCAAAGGCACUGAAAUGACCUUGGCUAACCAGCAUUUUGCCUCCUUAAAGAACCAAUGCUAACAAGGCCGCUCACCUUCAUAGUUUUUUAAAUAGUUUGGAAUACUCAUUGCCUCUUAACUACAGCCAAGGCCUAGUUUAUUAUUAUUUGAAGUUGAUAAUUUGUGUAUCUAUGGUAUACAAGUAUAUAACUUUGUCUUACACGCAGAGAUCCUAGCCUGUGACCUUUCCUUUCUCGAUCGGCAAUGCACCGUGAGCAUCGUCUCUCCACAUCGGUGCCCGCGGACCUGCCUCCCUGCUCCAGCGGCCACAGGGCGUCUCACUGCUGCACCCGCAGUGAUUUAUUUAAUCCAUCUCCUACGGGUCGCAGUGAGUCUUCCAGUCUGUGAUGCUCAGUCCCCAGAUGGAAGCCAACAGAAGUUCUCUCUGCUGUCAGCCCAGAAACACGACGCCUUUGACAAGUCUUCUUCUAAAAACAGAACUUGCCAUUUCCGAGGAGCAGUGGAAGGGACCCUUGGAGCCGAGCGCCAGUUGCCGAGUGUGGAGCUCACGCCCAGACGAUCUCAGAGUGUGGGCGCCAGCUGCAGGCUGAGCUGGGAGCCCCAGAGGACACGGGGGCGGAGGCUGAGCUGGAUGCAAGAGCAGGUGCUGCUGGGGCCUCGUCCUGACUCUGCUGUUCGGAGUUGAGGCUCUUGGCAAUUGGCUCGCCCCCAAGAUUCAAUCCCCUCAUCUGUGAAAUGGGGACGGCAAAGUCAAGCCCUGGGGCUCUGCCGAUAUUUGAGAAAGUGCCUAGUUGUAAAGGUACGAUAUUUGUACGUGUGUCUUCCUCCAUGGCUAGUACAUGCUCGCUCCUUUCUCCCUUCCCUCCCCACACCCCUCCUUCCUUGUUCGAUGCAUUCCUUUAUCACCAGAUGGUGCGGGUAAGACAGGGCUAGAGCAGACCAGGAAGGUCUCAGGGAGCUGCCUCCCUCCAUCAGACACAAAGUUUGGGACCCAAGGUGGGGGGAGGGAGGCCAGCAGAGUGUGUGACAGGUCACUGGGGCCAACUGACUCCAGAACUACUGCCUGGAUGGAGGAUCAGGAGAGCAGGGCCAGGUUAUGCAGUUUGGGGCAAGUCUCAGCAGCUGGCUCAGCUUCUCCAGCCAUGAAAAGGGACCAACUACCUUAACUUUGUACAUGUAAUUCCCAAGAAUCAUGAAAAUCAACGCAGAAAAUGCUUUGUUUUGUUCAAGACAGUAGAAUGCACUGUGCAAAAUGACGUUCUGUCACUCGCCCCGGUCGGGUGACAGAUCUCUGACCUCAUCAGGGAAUGGCAGCACAGGCGGCCGACUGAGUCGGUCCCACCACCCGCUUCUCCAACCAAAGCUGAGAUGAGGCCCCAGUGCUGUUGGACCCACGGGCUCGACUGGAGUGCAGGCAGUGCUCGCGUCCCUUAUCUUCUCCGCGAGAAGGUGGCCCAAUAUUAAAAAAACUGUCUAUGAACAUAACGAGCAAACUGAACUAACCAAAAAUAGAGACAGACUCCAAGAUGGAGAGCAGGAUGACAGCUAAGGGGGAGAAGACUAGGGUGGAGGGACCGAGGAAAAAGCAAAAAGGACUCAU